UACGUAGGGGGCAAGCGUUGUCCGGAUUUAUUGGGCGUAAAGAGCGUGUAGGCGGCCAGACAGGUCAGCUGUGAAAACUCGAGGCUCAACCUCGAGACGCCGGUGGAAACCGUAAAGCUAGAGUCCGGAAGAGGAGAGUGGAAUUCCUGGUGUAGCGGUGAAAUGCGCAGAUAUCAGGAGGAACACCCGUGGCGAAAGCGGCUCUCUGGGACGGUACUGACGCUGAGACGCGAAAGCGUGGGGAGCAAACAGG
rnacentral:rRNA from 1 species